rnacentral:rRNA from 1 species
GACGAAUGCUGGCGGCGUGCUUAACACAUGCAAGUCGAACGGAAAGGCCCUGCUUUUGUGGGGUGCUCGAGUGGCGAACGGGUGAGUAACACGUGAGUAACCUGCCCUUGACUUUGGGAUAACUUCAGGAAGCUGGGGCUAAUACCGGAUAGGAGCUCCUGCUGCAUGGUGGGGGUUGGAAAGUUUCGGCGGUUGGGGAUGGACUCGCGGCUUAUCAGCUUGUUGGUGGGGUAGUGGCUUACCAAGGCUUUGACGGGUAGCCGGCCUGAGAGGGUGACCGGCCACAUAGGGACUGAGAUACGGCCCAGACUCCUACGGGAGGCAGCAGUGGGGAAUAUUGCACAAUGGGCGGAAGCCUGAUGCAGCAACGCCGCGUGCGGGAUGACGGCCUUCGGGUUGUAAACCGCUUUCGCCUGUGACGAAGCGUGAGUGACGGUAAUGGGUAAAGAAGCACCGGCUAACUACGUG